rnacentral:rRNA from 1 species
GCCUGAGAAACGGCUACCACAUCUAAGGAAGGCAGCAGGCGCGCAAAUUACCCAAUCCUAAUACAGGGAGGUAGUGACAAGAAAUAACAAUACAGGACUUUUUGGUUUUGUAAUUGGAAUGAGUUAAGUAUAAACCCCUUUACAAGUAUCAAUUGGAGGGCAAGUCUGGUGCCAGCAGCCGCGGUAAUUCCAGCUCCAAUAGCGUAUAUUAAAGUUGUUGCAGUUAAAAAGCUCGUAGUUGGAUUUCUGUUAAUAAUUUAUAUAAAAUAUUUUGUAUAUUUAUAUAACAUUAACAUAAUUCAUAUUACUAUAUUUUUUAGUAUAUGAAAUUUUUCUUUGAGAAAAUUAGAGUGCUUAAAGCAGGCAUAUGCCUUGAAUACUCCAGCAUGGAAUAAUAUUAAAGAUUUUUACCUUUCUUAUUGGUUCUAAGAUAAGAAUAAUGAUUAAUAGGGACAGUUGGGGGCAUUUGUAUUUAACAGUCAGAGGUGAAAUUCUUAGAUUUGUU